CUACGUAGCUCAGAGUUUGAUCCUGGCUCAGGACGAACGCUGGCGGCGUGCCUAAUACAUGCAAGUAGAACGCUGAGCACUUUAGCUUGCUAGGGUGUGAUGAGUUGCGAACGGGUGAGUAACGCGUAGGUAACCUACCUCAUAGCGGGGGAUAACUAUUGGAAACGAUAGCUAAUACCGCAUAACAAUAGCUGCCGCAUGGCAGCUAUUUGAAAGGAACAAUCGUUUCACUAUGAGAUGGACCUGCGUUGUAUUAGCUAGUUGGUGGGGUAAAGGCCUACCAAGGCGACGAUACAUAGCCGACCUGAGAGGGUGAUCGGCCACACUGGGACUGAGACACGGCCCAG
rnacentral:rRNA from 1 species